UCUUGACUCAAGAAAGAGCAAUGGAAGUGGGGGAGACUGGGGCAUCAGGCUAAGAUGAUAGCUCCAUUGCACAGCAUUAUAUUCACACAGCAGAGCCCAAUGGAGGUGGGUACAUACAGAAGGAAGAGGCAUGCAGAUGUGGUGACUUCAGAGGACCAACCAGACCUGAGGUUCAGAAUCCAAGCAGAGAAAGAAUAAUUAUACAGGAUUCAACUGUAUCAAGCUUCAGCCCUGAAACUUAUUUAACAAAUUACUGGAAGUCCUUGCCAGAGCAAUCAGGCAAGAUAAAGAAAUAAAAGGCAUCCACAUGAGAAAAGAGGAAGUCAAAUUGUGCCUCUUUGCAGAUGACAUGCUCUUAUAUUCAGAAAGAUUAAAAGACUCCACCAAAAAACUCUUCGAGCUGAUAAAUUCAGUAAAGAUGCAGGAUACAAAAUCAAUGCAUGAAAUCAGUAGCAUUUCUAUACAUCAGUAAUAAAACACUUGAAAAAGAAAUCAAGGAGUUAUUCCCAUUUCUAGUGGCUACAAAAAUACCUAGGAAUAAAUUUCACUGAGGAGGGGAAAGAUCUUCGCAAGGAAAACCAGAAAACAUUGAUGAAAGAAAUUGAAGAGGACACAAGUGGAAAGACAACUCAUGCUCUUCAACAGAAGACUCAAUAUCAUAUAAUGACCACACUGCCCAAAACAGUUACUGCAAUGAAUCAUCUGAGAACCAAGGGUAAAAGACAAGGAGGACAGCUAGCAGUCCCCAACACCUUGCCCCAGGCCAAAGGUGUUCCUGAUAUCAGGUUGGAAACCCAGCUGUGACAGAAUUGUGCUUUUGGAACUGUUUAUCCAUUUCAUUCCUUUCUAUUGCCCUGGUGGCAGUGGUGGCAGUGGAGGCAAGGUGAUCUUGACCUCAAAGAAUACAUCAAAGUUAUUCUAGAAAAAUCAAUUGAUACCAGCAGAAAACAACCAUACAUGUUUUGCAGUCACAUCACUCUUCAGAAUUACCCCAGGACCUGAGAGACCAGGAAAAAGGGGCCAAACAGAUGGCUCCAGCUUGGUGUCCCUAUAAAAGAUGUAUUGAGAAAGAGUGUUUGGAUUAAAGAGAAACCACAAACCAUAGUUUCACAGUCCCUUGCAAUUAUACUCUUGGGCAUAGAGCAUAGAAUGAUGCUUCCAAUUCUCGUUGGCAUUAUGAGCAAGGGUAACCUAUGUCCUGGCCCCUUCUUGGUUCCUGAAGAACUGAGGAACAGACUAAACAAGAGAUAGACCGUCCUCACACACAGCCAGGAAAAGAGUGUUGUCCCUAGUGGAGACAAGAGAAGGAACAGAUCCUGCUUUCUGUCUUUCCUAUACAUGGGGGGACAAAGUUGCAUGGUGAGAGGAGCAACUCUCAAAAGACUCACUAAUGAAACCAAACAGUUCUGUUUAUCAGAAAAAGAAAUAAACAUACACAAACAAAUGGGACUGUGAACUUCUCCCUCUGAUGAUUCUGAGAUGGGGGAAUCCCCAAGCUAGCAUAGAGCAUGCCUCCAAAGCUCCCUGUGGUUAAACGUGCCAGCUGUAACUAGCCAUGGAGCAGAGUAGCACCCCACAACACCCCCUCAUAGACAAAGCCAAUUACCUCAAAA
rnacentral:lncRNA from 10 species